GAUAAACGCUGGCGGCGUGCCUAACACAUGCAAGUCGCACGUCCUCUCUUGCUUCGGCAGGAGAGGGAGUGGCGGACGGGUGAGUAACACAUGGGUACCUGCCCUCCAGUGAGGAAUACCGGCGAGAAAUCGCUGACAAUACCGCAUACGCCCGGCAACGGGCAAAGUUUCUCGCGAGAGAGGCGCUGGAGGAGGGGCCUGUGGCCGAUUAGCUAGCUGGUGGGGUAAGAGCCUACCAGGGCGACGAUCGGUAGCUGGUCUGAGAGGACGAGCAGCC
rnacentral:rRNA from 1 species